GGUCCGUGUUCGAAAGGGAAACAGCCCAGACCACCAGCUAAGGUCCCAAAAUAUAUGUUAAGUGGAAAAGGAUGUGGCGUUGCCCAGACAACUAGGAUGUUGGCUUAGAAGCAGCCAUCAUUUAAAGAGUGCGUAAUAGCUCACUAGUCGAGUGACACUGCGCCGAAAAUGUACCGGGGCUAAACAUAUUACCGAAGCUGUGGAUUGUCCUUUGGACAAUGGUAGGAGAGCGUUCUAAGGGCGUUGAAGCAUGAUCGUAAGGACAUGUGGAGCGCUUAGAAGUGAGAAUGCCGGUGUGAGUAGCGAAAGACGGGUGAGAAUCCCGUCCACCGAUUGACUAAGGUUUCCAGAGGAAGGCUCGUCCGCUCUGGGUUAGUCGGGUCCUAAGCUGAGGCCGACAGGCGUAGGCGAUGGAUAACAGGUUGAUAUUCCUGUACCACCUAUAAUCGUUUUAAUCGAUGGGGGGACGCAGUAGGAUAGGCGAAGCGUGCGAUUGGAUUGCACGUCUAAGCAGUAAGGCUGAGUAUUAGGCAAAUCCGGUACUCAUUAAGGCUGAGCUGUGAUGGGGAGAAGACAUUGUGUCUUCGAGUCGUUGAUUUCACACUGCCGAGAAAAGCCUCUAGAUAGAAAAUAGGUGCCCGUACCGCAAACCGACACAGGUAGUCAAGAUGAGAAUUCUAAGGUGAGCGAGCGAACUCUCGUUAAGGAACUCGGCAAAAUGACCCCGUAACUUCGGGAGAAGGGGUGCUCUUUAGGGUUAACGCCCAGAAGAGCCGCAGUGAAUAGGCCCAAGCGACUGUUUAUCAAAAACACAGGUCUCUGCUAAACCGUAAGGUGAUGUAUAGGGGCUGACGCCUGCCCGGUGCUGGAAGGUUAAGAGGAGUGGUUAGCUUCUGCGAAGCUACGAAUCGAAGCCCCAGUAAACGGCGGCCGUAACUAUAACGGUCCUAAGGUAGCGAAAUUCCUUGUCGGGUAAGUUCCGACCCGCACGAAAGGCGUAACGAUUUGGGCACUGUCUCAACGAGAGACUCGGUGAAAUCAUAGUACCUGUGAAGAUGCAGGUUACCCGCGACAGGACGGAAAGACCCCGUGGAGCUUUACUGUAGCCUGAUAUUGAAAUUCGGCACAGCUUGUACAGGAUAGGUAGGAGCCUUUGAAACGUGAGCGCUAGCUUACGUGGAGGCGCUGGUGGGAUACUACCCUAGCUGUGUUGGCUUUCUAACCCGCACCACUUAUCGUGGUGGGAGACAGUGUCAGGCGGGCAGUUUGACUGGGGCGGUCGCCUCCUAAAAGGUAACGGAGGCGCUCAAAGGUUCCCUCAGAAUGGUUGGAAAUCAUUCAUAGAGUGUAAAGGCAUAAGGGAGCUUGACUGCGAGACCUACAAGUCGAGCAGGGUCGAAAGACGGACUUAGUGAUCCGGU
rnacentral:rRNA from 1 species